rnacentral:rRNA from 1 species
UGCAAGUCGAACGAAGAGCGAUGGAAGCUUGCUUCUAUCAAUCUUAGUGGCGAACGGGUGAGUAACGCGUAAUCAACCUGCCCUUCAGAGGGGGACAACAGUUGGAAACGACUGCUAAUACCGCAUACGAUUCAAUCCCGGCAUCGGGACUGGAUGAAAGGUGGCCUCUAUUUAUAAGCUAUCACUGAAGGAGGGGAUUGCGUCUGAUUAGCUAGUUGGAGGGGUAACGGCCCACCAAGGCGAUGAUCAGUAGCCGGUCUGAGAGGAUGAACGGCCACAUUGGGACUGAGACACGGCCCAGACUUCUACGGGAGGCAGCAGUGGGGAAUCUUCCGCAAUGGACGAAAGUCUGACGGAGCAACGCCGCGUGAGUGAUGACGGCCUUCGGGUUGUAAAGCUCUGUUAAUCGGGACGAAUGGUUCUUGUGCGAAUAGUGCGAGGA